rnacentral:rRNA from 1 species
UGAGAGUGGUGUACUGGGUGCUGGAACACUGUGUGCAAGCUGCUUUAUCUGGGGGAUAGCCUUUCGAAUGGAAGAUUAAUACCCAUAAUAUGUUGAAUGGAUCAUUCUGAGGGUUUGAACAACUCCUGGUGGAUAAGACGAUUGGGUGCGCGCAAGAUUACGACUACGUUUGGUUGAUGUGUAAACGGUCAACCAAUGUUCUAACGAUACUUAUACUGUGNGGCCCUGAGAUGGUGAUCCCACCAAAAACUUGGUACUGAUACACUGGGACCAGACUCACUAACCGUGUGANUGCACACGCAAGUUGAGUGCAACUAUUUGGGACACACAUUUGGUGUUGGANGAGCCUUGAUUCCAAGCCAUCACACUGCUGUUGAAUUGACUGACUUGCCCUGACUUGGGUAUGUACAACCUUCUAUAUGUCCUACGUGGAAUNCAACACCUACCCUCACGUCGAAAGUGGUGUUUNAGCCCUUUGAACAGAUGGUAACACCUUUGAAUGACCUGCACACUACAAAAGGCAAAACCCUAGGGGAUUGACAAGCCUCACCCNCUGGAUUGCCACAUAGGCUAAGAGAGACUAGGACUGGGGUAUACAAU